AAUAGAUACCCUGGUAGUCCACGCCGUAAACGAUGAGUGCUAAGUGUUAGAGGGUUUCCGCCCUUUAGUGCUGCAGCUAACGCAUUAAGCACUCCGCCUGGGGAGUACGGCCGCAAGGCUGAAACUCGAAGGAAUUGACGGGGGCCCGCACAAGCGGUGGAGCAUGUGGUUUAAUUCGAAGCAACGCGAAGAACCUUACCAGGUCUUGACAUCCUCUGCCAACCCUAGAGAUAGGGCGUUCCCCUUCGGGGGACAGAGUGACAGGUGGUGCAUGGUUGUCGUCAGCUCGUGUCGUGAGAUGUUGGGUUAAGUCCCGCAACGAGCGCAACCCUUGAUCUUAGUUGCCAGCAUUCAGUUGGGCACUCUAAGGUGACUGCCGGUGACAAACCGGAGGAAGGUGGGGAUGACGUCAAAUCAUCAUGCCCCUUAUGACCUGGGCUACACACGUGCUACAAUGGAUGGUACAAAGAGCUGCGAACCCGCGAGGGUAAGCCAAUCUCAUAAAGCCAUUCUCAGUUCGGAUUGUAGG
rnacentral:rRNA from 1 species